UUGUUGGUAAGGUAAAAGCUUACCGAGGCUUCGAUCAGUAGCUGGUCUGAGAGGACGACCAGCCACACUGGGACUGAGACACGGCCCAGACUCCUACGGGAGGCAGCAGUGGGGAAUUUUGGACAAUGGGGGCAACCCUGAUCCAGCCAUGCCGCGUGAGUGAAGAAGGCCUUCGGGUUGUAAAGCUCUUUCAGCCGGAACGAAACGGUUACGGAUAACACCCGUGACUACUGACGGUACCGGAAGAAGAAGCACCGGCUAACUACGUGCCAGCAGCCGCGGUAAUACGUAGGGUGCGAGCGUUAAUCGGAAUUACUGGGCGUAAAGCGUGCGCAGGUGGUUUUGUAAGUCAGAUGUGAAAGCCCCGGGCUCAACCUGGGAACUGCGUUUGAAACUACAAGACUAGAGUGUGGCAGAGGGGGGUGGAAUUCCGCGUGUAGCAGUGAAAUGCGUAGAGAUGUGGAGGAACACCGAUGGCGAAGGCAGCCCCCUGGGUCAACACUGACGCUCAGGCACGAAAGCAUGGGGAGCAAACAGGAUUAGAUACCCUGGUAGUCCAUGCCCUAAACGAUGUCAACUAGUUGUCGGGCCUUUACGGGCUUGGUAACGUAGCUAACGCGUGAAGUUGACCGCCUGGGGAGUACGAUCGCAAGAUUAAAACUCAAAUGAAUUGACGGGGACCCGCACAAGCGGUGGAUUAUGUGGAUUAAUUCGAUGCAACGCGAAAAACCUUACCUACCCUUGACAUGUAUCGAAGCCCGCAGAAAAGCGGGGGUGCCCGAAAGGGAACGAUAACACAGGUGCUGCAUGGCUGUCGUCAGCUCGUGUCGUGAGAUGUUGGGUUAAGUCCCGCAACGAGCGCAACCCUUGUCAUUAAUUGCCAUCAUUUAGUUGGGCACUUUAAUGAGACUGCCGG
rnacentral:rRNA from 1 species